rnacentral:piRNA from 1 species
UGCUGUUGUCCUCCGGCGUGGGAAG